CGACAAAGUAGCUCAACUCGUUUCAGAUCAGCCACCAAUCGGUCAUUUAGAGACAGGCAUGCAUUCUACGGCAGGGAUGCCUUUUUCGGCAUAACACCGGCAACGCUGCUCAAGCUAUUUUCAAAUCAAAGACGAGCCGAAGACAAGAGCAUGGUUUCACGAGUGCUCCGUUCGUACUCCAACCACACACUCAGACCCGUUGCCACUGUGGAACUUCCAAUAAGGUACAGAGCUUGUGAAGCAAAUAGCAAGUUUGAGCUGGUGAACAUUGCACAGGAAAAUGUGCUAAGUGGUGCAACAGCAGAGGCUUUAGGUCUCAUAGCUCGACUAAACUCACUGAAACCCCAAGCUGAAGAAGCAGAAAGAAACAUUACUGUGAGCAGCGAGGUAACCCAAACCAUACCAGCAGGACUGGAGGAUUUUCCCGAGCUGUCGCAAACCACUGGUACAUUGCCAGAUAUUAAACGUGUAAACAUUCACGAAAUUAAAAAAUGGAGCAAGCCAUUGAAGAACGAGGGAAACUCCUUGUUGACUAUUUUAGGAACAAACCAACCAACGAUGACAUCAAAAAAGUCAGAAUGCAUGAAGGUGAUGAGGUUUUAAGGAAGAAAAAUGGGACCUCAUAUUCCACACAGAAGAGACAAUCACUGCGGCUGAUAUUGAGAGGACCUGCUGCCUACCAAAUAGUCCAAGGCUGAUAAUUCUUAGUAUAAUCUUACCUUUCAUCAGCUCAGUUUCUUGUUGCUUUUUAACGUUUGAAUAAAUUUUGAUGGUUGUUGGUGACGGCUUUAGUAAACGGAAAUGGAUGAUUGUAAUUGAAGAACAGGUGAUUCGCCAAGGGGUGUAGCCAACCUUCAUGUCUGGGUUAGCAACACUCUGUGUGUUACUACAGCUUUAACCUCCAAUAUCAAGAUGGCGCUGCUUGCACUCUUGAAUUUAUACAAAGGUAAAAUUUGGUGACAUUGACUUUUCAAAAGUGAAUUACAUUGGAAAGUCCUUAGCUAUAAACCUUAUUAGCAACAACACUAUGCUCAUACUCACAGACACACACUAAACUCAGACAGACACAGACACACAUUCAAAGGCCUUCAUAUAUAUACCACACGUUUCCAGGCCGACACAAAUAUACCACACACAGACACACAUUCUCAGACUGAGAAACACUAAAAACUGUCUCUCGCUCCCCCUGAGGGCAGCAGGCCCUUUAUCUAUGGUCUUCAUACAGACUUCUGGAGCCGGGGGGUCAGACUGACUUGGUAGAGUAAGUUGUAUGAGAUAGACAAAGAACAUGAUGAGCGAGUAGCAAGGACAGAAAGAAACAAAAAUAAGAAAUAUGAAAGCUUUAGAGUGAACUAAAUGAAAAUAAUUAAAUAACUACAAAUUAAUUUGAGAAAUCCCUCAAUAAUGACACACGCAUAUAAACAAACAUACACUCAUACCCACAGAUACAAACACUCUGACAUACACAAAGAUAAACGAUUUUCCUUGUACAGAUAGAUUGAUUGUGCAUGUUUUUUCUUUCAGAAAUUUCUUCAAAAUCAACCCAGAGAGAGGGUCAAAGGCAAGCAAAGGAAAAAUGAAGAGCAAAAAGACUGGAAAGUUAGUCCAGAAGAAGUCUUUUGCCAUCAACCCACACAUUUGCUCACUAAUUAGAAAGCUCACUGAGUUUGAAUGGGACUUCAUAUAAGGUACCUGAAGCAUUUUAUUCAUGCACAUAAAGCACUAUUUUAGGAUAUUACAUUCAUUUAUAGCUUUGUGUCUGAACUUUUUGAAAACCAGAUUUCAAUGAGUUGAAAUCUGUCGGAAGUGAUGUGAAAUUUACCUGUGAAACUAAAAUGGUUAAUAGUUAGCAGGGUUUUUUUUAUUGCUUGUGUACUUCACUGUUUGUAGGGAUUCUGCCGAACGUGACCCCCUGGAAUUAUUAUUUUUUAAGACUUUCUACCUGCUUCUGUUCCCUUCACAUACUAUUGCUCCUGUGAACUUGAUGUUAGUUUGUUUAUUGCUUAAUUAUUUCAACAAUUAGUUUUGGAUUUUCGAAAAUCACAAUAAUUUUUAAUGACAUGAUGGUGAAACAUUGGAAAUGUAAGAAUUGUUGAACAUUUUCCAUUAACAUCUUUAUACAAAAAUAAGAUUUUUGUAAACUAAGGGCGGGGGGCUGCGCCUGGGGUCUCUCCCCUCCUCCUCCUGCUGGGGUGGGGACGCGGCUGUCAUGGGAACGUGGGGCCUUGGCUCUUCUGUGCUCUUGGGGGGCUGUGGACGCCUUGGGUCUCCUGGGCCUGUCUCCGCUGGCCUCUGGCUCUUGUGGGGUGGGGUUGCGGCCCCCCGCCCUUGCUAUCAAGUACAUUCCAUGGAGAAAUUCACACGCACCCAACACACGUAUACGUGUUCACACACAUCCCCCACACAGAAGAACACACAUGCAAACCCACUUCCUCACUCCCUUCCAAGCACAUGCAACAAUU